rnacentral:rRNA from 1 species
UACAGAGGCCUCAAGCGUUGUUCGGAUUCAUUGGGCGUAAAGGGCGCGUAGGCGGCGGGGUAAGUCGGGUGUGAAAUCUCAGAGCUCAACUCUGAAACUGCACUCGAUACUGCUCUGCUUGAGGACUGGAGAGGAGACUGGAAUUCACGGUGUAGCAGUGAAAUGCGUAGAUAUCGAGAGGAACACCUGCGGCGAAGGCGGGUUGCUGGGCUGACACUGACGCUGAUGCGCGAAAGCUAGGGGAGCGAACGGG